CGUCUGUGCCGCUACCUGUUCAACUGCCACAGGGUAUCUACACGGUGAAAGAUAGAUUAAAUAAUGCAAACGCAAUGAAUGACUUCACAGUGAUUUCACCUUUAUUCUGUUUUAUUACAGACACCAACGUGUAAUUAAAAAACAUCUUUGCAGGGGAAACAGCUGUUCAUUUGCAGUUUGCACAUCUAAUGAGGAUGUUCAGGAGGAGGCAAACACUGUUACAGACUGUUUUGAUCACAUGAUGGACAAAUGGACCGCUGAGUGUGAUUCAAAGGCUGGAAACAGAUGAAACAGGAAAUUCACAGAAUGUUUUCCUCUGCUUCCUGUCUGAAUGCAAGCUUCCCUUGAGAAAAGG